rnacentral:rRNA from 1 species
AUGCAGUCGAACGGCAGCACGGACUUCGGUCUGGUGGCGAGUGGCGAACGGGUGAGUAAUGUAUCGGAACGUGCCCAGUAGCGGGGGAUAACUACGCGAAAGCGUAGCUAAUACCGCAUACGCCCUACGGGGGAAAGCAGGGGAUCGCAAGACCUUGCACUAUUGGAGCGGCCGAUAUCGGAUUAGCUAGUUGGUGGGGUAACGGCUCACCAAGGCGACGAUCCGUAGYUGGUUUGAGAGGACGACCAGCCACACUGGGACUGAGACACGGCCCAGACUCSUACGGGAGGCAGCAGUGGGGAAUUUUUGGACAAUGGGGGAAACCCUGAUCCAGCCAUCCCGCGUGUGCGAUGAAGGCCUUCGGGUUGUAAAGCACUUUUGGCAGGAAAGAAACGUCGCGGGUUAAUACCCCGCGAAACUGACGGUACCUGCAGAAUAAGCACCGGCUAACUACGUGCCAGCAGCCGMGGUAAUACGUAGGGUGCAAGCGUUAAUCGGAAUUACUGGGCGUAAAGCGUGCGCAGGCGGUUCGGAAAGAAAGAUGUGAAAUCCCAGAGCUUAACUUUGGAACUGCAUUUUUAACUACCGGGCUAGAGUGUGUCAGAGGGAGGUGGAAUUCCGCGUGUAGCAGUGAAAUGCGUAGAUAUGCGGAGGAACACCGAUGGCGAAGGCAGCCUCCUGGGAUAACACUGACGCUCAUGCACGAAAGCGUGGGGAGCAAACAGGAUUAGAUACCCUGGUAGUCCACGCCCUAAACGAUGUCAACUAGCUGUUGGGGCCUUCGGGCCUUGGUAGCGCAGCUAACGCGUGAAGUGACCG